AGCAAUUUGGCGCAGUGGAAGCGCGGUAUGUCUCUUCACACUCUCCUCACAAUCCAGUUAAUACUAACGAGAAUUCCAAUAGCCGGGCUCAUAACCCGGAGGUCGCACGAUCGAAACGUGCAAUUGCUA